rnacentral:rRNA from 1 species
GACGAACGCUGGCGGCGUGCUUAACACAUGCAAGUCGAACGGAAAGGCCUUUUCGGAGGUACUCGAGUGGCGAACGGGUGAGUAACACGUGGGUGAUCUGCCCUGCACUCUGGGAUAAGCCUGGGAAACUGGGUCUAAUACCGGAUAGGACCGCACUUUAGUGUGUGUGGUGGAAAGUUUUUUCGGUGUAGGAUGAGCCCGCGGCCUAUCAGCUUGUUGGUGGGGUAAUGGCCUACCAAGGCGGCGACGGGUAGCCGGACUGAGAGGUUGGUCGGCCACAUUGGGACUGAGAUACGGCCCAGACUCCUACGGGAGGCAGCAGUGGGGAAGAUUGCACAAUGGGCGCAAGCCUGAUGCAGCGACGCCGCGGGGGGGAUGACGGCCUUCGGGUUGUAAACUCCUUUCGCCAGGGACGAAGCGUUUUGUGACGGUACCUGGAGAAGAAGCACCGGCUAACUACGUG